GAUGAACGCUGGCGGCGUGCUUAACACAUGCAAGUCGAACGAAGAUGCCGGAGUGCUUGCACUUUGGCAGACUGAGUGGCGGACGGGUGAGUAACGCGUGGGUAACCUGCCUUAUACAGGGGGAUAACAGUUGGAAACGACUGCUAAUACCGCAUAAGCGCACGGUAUCGCAUGAUACAGUGUGAAAAACUCCGGUGGUAUAAGAUGGACCCGCGUCUGAUUAGCUUGUUGGUGAGGUAACGGCCCACCAAGGCGACGAUCAGUAGCCGGCCUGAGAGGGUGAACGGCCACAUUGGGACUGAGACACGGCCCAAACUCCUACGGGAGGCAGCAGUGGGGGAUAUUGCACAAUGGGGGAAACCCUGAUGCAGCGACGCCGCGUGGAGGAAGAAGGUUUUCGGAUUGUAAACUCCUGUCGUUAGGGACGAUAAUGACGUACCUAACAAGAAAGCACCGGCUAACUACGUG
rnacentral:rRNA from 1 species